CUUGAGGAAAGACAACGAGCUGAAGCACGGGAAAGGAAAGAAAAAGGUGAAAAAUGGCAGACUAAGGUAUGGGAUCAAUGACAUAUUAUUCAUUUGUACUUUAAGAUGGCUAUCUACAGUUGUCUAAAAAAUUUUAGUAUUUUAGAUAAAACCCUCGUUUUCAACCAAAUAUAAUCAUUUCCAGGAAAGUUCAAAAGCUAGUUAGAGUCCUUAGUUCAAUGAGGUGGUUCGUAAUAGUGCUAAAGCACUUAUAAUCUUGUAGUCUUGUGCUGUCGAUAUAUGAACAAUAUCUUUUUUCCUUCGGUCAAUUUUUCAGAAAUGUUUUUGAGGAUUUAUGGUUGAUAGAGUAAUAACAUACAGUAUCAAAAUUUGUAGGGAGGUUUACAAGGCAGAUUUCGAGAUAUUCAUGAACAUAACGACUACAGAAAAUCUGUCUUGAUAUGUUUUGCUAAUUUAAUCGUCAUGCGUUGCAAAUAUGCAAAGUUAAAAAAAAUUCACCGAAGGAAACGCGAGAAAAAUAGCCCUAAAGUCCCGUUGAACCUGCUGCCGUGACAAAAUGUCCAUUCGACGUGAUCACUAAUCACUAUUUGCGUAUGCGUGCAAAUUAUAAUGCGUGAACAACACGAAACGCGUGUGGUUUAUAGUUGGUUUUUUUAGUAAUUUUCAAUUAUAUAUAUCAAACAGAUAUUUUUUUUACUUAUUUAAAAUGAAAGUAAAAGAUAUACAUUCAAAAUACGAAAGAUUGAGAACACAAUAACGCAUUGAAUUAAUCCAAAGUUUCAUAAGUUUAGUUUUGUUAAGUGAAAAUCGGUGUGAAAACUUUUCAAAACAUUCAGCUGGAGUUUGACUUUUCGUAUAAGACAACUCGUACUAUAGUUUUAUUAGAUUCAGCAGAUGACAGGAGCCUGGGUACGAGGUUGGACUUACGUUAGUUUCGGUGACAGUUGAGGAUAUAAAAUAUCAUUUCAGUUCGCGACACUGUCACUGUUGUUGAAAAUCGUGGGCUUUAUAUUAUAAAAUACAAUACGUUCAGUAUUGUAUUUUAUAAUAUAAAGCCCACGAUUUUCAACAACANNNNNNNNNNNNNNNNNNNNAACGUAUUAAAUACGUAAAACACACUGAAAAAUAGGUUAAAAACUAGUUAUCAACAUACGUACUGUUCGAAUUUUGAAAAGUUUAGGAUUAUAAUAAAAAACUGGCGUUUUCUUUGCAGAUAAAACUCAAAAACAUAUUCCCGCAAUCCCGCGCCUUGUUUCAAAAUAUUUACCGGGCCACGAAGAUUCCACGCGCGAAUCACGAGGAUGACGUCUGAUCUAUAUAAAUAUGUUUUAAACUGUAUUAUAACUGUAGGGAGCCACCUCAAGAAUACUUCUAUUAUAAACUUUUGUUGGUUAGCACUGCCUUAUUAACGCCCUCACAACAAUUGCCGUGCUAUAUCUAAGACAAGACGCUGCUUUAUUUUCUCAGGAUUUUUCUUGUAAAACACUGUAGGUGUCCACGGGCCUCGAAAAUCCUGGAAAGUCCUUGAAUUGGGAAAAAAAAUUACAGGACUGGAAAGUCCUUGAAAAUCAGUAGAAGUCCUGAAAGUCCUGGAAUUAAUUUCCUUAACUUAAUUAAUUUCCCCAGCUGUGCCAACAUUAGUGAUUUUGAUUAGAAUUACUAAAUAAAGUGACUUAUUUACGGCAAAUCCGUGCCAUUUUCAAAGAUUUUUCCCAGUUCUAGGUCCUUGAGUUUACUGAAAAAGGGCCUUGAAAGUCCUGGAAAAGUCCUUGAAUUUCACCUUCACCAAAGGGUGGACACCCUGAAAACAAUAUUUUUGUUGUUUUUUGAUCAUCAUAUUUGUUUAAAAUCGGCUCCCCCAAUAUAAAUAACCCUCUAAAUUUCAGUUAGCUACCAUUAGAAUUUUCAAGGUAGAAAUUUGCUUCAAAUAAUUAUCGUAGACCAAGUUGUCAAAUUAUUUUUUUUGUAACGUAGUUUUCCUACGACUCUUUCCUACACUAGCUUUUCCACGAAGGCAAUGAUCUGUGGACAUACGAUGCAGCUCUCUCAACACGUCUCAAGGGACAAACCUGCACAGAGAAGUAAUUAUCACGUUACAUUGGACCAUUUGCAUUAUAGACUAAAUUUUGAUCUAGACAAAAAUUUCAUCACAGCUUGAAAGAACAUCACAAAAUUAGUAAUAUUCCAAAGUUUCGUUGCGAAAUGUUGUAAAAUGCGGAUAAUAUAGCCCUGCGAAGUUUGCCGUUUUUCAGUCAUUUUGUAGUACACACGGGAAAUAAUUUUGUAUUACACACGGGCAUCAAUUUCCCAUUUGUAAUACAAAAUGACUGAAAAUUGCAAAUUUCGCAAGGCUAUGUUAUCCGCAUUUUACAACAUUUCGCAACGAAACUUUGGAAUAUUACUAAUUUUGUGAUGCUCUUUCAAGUUGUGAUGAAAUUUUUGUCUAGACCAAAAUUUAGUCUAUAAUGCAAAUGGUCCAUAUACAGGGUGUAUAAAAAAAAGAAAGAAGACCUUUAGAAAUUAACCCUAUUGUUAUAAUUUGAAUGCUAUAAGCACUACGCUGAACACAAGAGUGCGAAAACACAAUUGAUUGAAUUUUUAAUUACCUGGAGCAAAAUACAGUAUUGUGAAUUACCAGGAGCAAAAUAUAUUGUGCUUUAACAACAAUAGAUUAAUUUCUAAAGGUCUCCCUUUUUAUGAUAUACACCCUGUAGUAGUAUCUUAUUAAUAUACCUUAUUCCCAUCACAAUGUCAUAGCCUAUUUUCAUUAAUAUUAUCUACUUCUUACCGUUAAGUCUGGUCUUAGCUACUGGACCAAAAUAUAAGUAACUGUUUUUGAUAUAGUUUCUGCAUGAAAUUGCCCUUUGAAUAUUUUUGUUAAAAUUAGAUUUUGGUAUAUUAUAGAUAUUAGAAUGAAUCCGUAUUGUCAGUUUCUAUGACAAUAAUUUUAAAACGGAUAUUAACCAAGGCUAAUAUUUGAAUAAGAUUAUGUUAACUCUAAUAAACGCCUCGUACCCAGUGCUUUAUGUUAAACUCACGUUAAAUGUGCACGGGGCUGGUCGGGGAGGUCUAUAGUGAAUUUGUUCAUGUAGUCAUCCCCUUGUCAUCCUCAUCACGCCUUUCGGCGCGAAACACUUCUUAUAUGUAGAGGCCUGGGUACGAGACGUUGGUAAAGUCUUUUUGAAAAUUCCUGAAAUUAGAAAUGUACGAUGUGCAUUAAUAUUUAUACCAUGCAUUUAUAAUAUAUUUGAACGUGGGGAAAGCUCAUAGAUACUUGUAUAUCUUUUUUUACGCCACUUUGCUGCACAACGUAUGAAGCAAACAUGUGAAAUCGGACAAGAAUUCAAUUAUAGUUGUUUCAUUCAAGUUAAUUUAAAAUUGCUAGUUUCACAUUUGUUGUCACAUUUUACAUUAAUAACAAAUAAUGUAAAUAUUUAUGUAAUUAAUGUAAAUAUUUAUAGUGAAACGAAUUCCACAAUAAUACUGAAUAAUAUAAUGUUAGAU
rnacentral:lncRNA from 1 species